GACGAACGCUGACGGCGUGCCUAAUACAUGCAAGUUGAGCGCUGAAGGUUGGUACUUGUACCAACUGGAUGAGCAGCGAACGGGUGAGUAACGCGUGGGGAAUCUGCCUUUGAGCGGGGGACAACAUUUGGAGACGAAUGCUAAUACCGCAUAAAAACUUUAAACACAAGUUUUAAGUUUGAAAGAUGCAAUUGCAUCACUCAAAGAUGAUCCCGCGUUGUAUUAGCUAGUUGGUGAGGUAAAGGCUCACCAAGGCGAUGAUACAUAGCCGACCUGAGAGGGUGAUCGGCCACAUUGGGACUGAGACACGGCCCAAACUCCUACGGGAGGCAGCAGUAGGGAAUCUUCGGCAAUGGACGAAAGUCUGACCGAGCAACGCCGCGUGAGUGAAGAAGGUUUUCGGAUCGUAAAACUCUGUUGGUAGAGAAGAACGUUGGUGAGAGUGGAAAGCUCAUCAAGUGACGGUAACUACCCAGAAAGGGACGGCUAACUACGU
rnacentral:rRNA from 1 species